AACGCACAUUGCGCCCGCCAGUAUUCUGGCGGGCAUGCCUGUUCGAGCGUCAUUUCAACCCUCGAGCCCCUAAUUGCGGGGGCUUGGUGUUGGGGAUCGGCCACCCGUCUCCGGGAGGCCGGCCCCGAAUUUCAGUGGCGGUCCCGCCGCAGCGUCUCUUGCGUAGUAGUAAACCACCUCGCACUGGAACGCGGCGCGGCCACGCCGUAAACUAAAAUUUUUUUUUUUUCUGAAUGUUGACCUCGGAUCAGGUAGGAAUACCCGCUGAACUUAA
rnacentral:misc_RNA from 1 species